rnacentral:rRNA from 1 species
AUUGAACGCUGGCGGCAGGCCUAACACAUGCAAGUCGAGCGAGCGGCGGACGUGUGAGUAAUGUAUGGGGACUGCCCGAUAGAGGGGGAUAACCUCUGGAAACGGUGGCGAAUACCGCAUACUAUCGGAUAACCCAUAUGGGAUUAGCUAGUAGGUGGGGGAAAGGCUCACCUAGGCGACGAUCUCUAGCUGGUCUGAGAGGAUGAUCAGCCACACGGGAAAGUAGACACGGCCCAGCCUCCUACGGAGGCAGCAGUGGGGAAUAGUGCACAAUGGGCGCAAGCCUGAUGCAGCCAUGCCGCGUGUAUGAAGAAGGCCUUAGGGUUGUAAAGUACUUUCAGCGGGGAGGCGUUACCCGCAGAAGAAGCACCGGCUAACUCCGUGCCAGCAGCCGCGGUAAUAC